rnacentral:rRNA from 1 species
UUAAAAAGCUCGUAGUUGGAUUUCUGUGGGGACGGAGCGGCCGGCCGCCACUAGCGGUUCGAGCUAGCGCUUUCCCUACAUCCUGCCGCGAACCGCGCUACCAUUAGUUUGGUGGCGCCGGGGAUCGGCUCGUUUACUUUGAGAAAAAUAGAGUGUUCAAAGCAGGCCACACGCCUUGAAUAAGUUAGCAUGGAAUAAUAACUAAGGACUUCGGUUCUAUUUUGUUGGUGUUCGGGACUGAAGUAAUGAUUGAUAGGGACAGUUGGGGCGGUCCGUAUUCCAAAGCGAGAGGUGAAAUUCUUAGACCUUCGGAAGACGAACAGCUGCGAA